rnacentral:rRNA from 1 species
CCAAUAGCGUAUAUUAAAGUUGUUGCAGUUAAAAAGCUCGUAGUUGAAUUUCGAGACCGGUUUACUGGUCGUGCUUUUGUACGUACUGGUAUAAUCGGUUUCUCUUUUCUGACGAACUAUAAUGCCAUUAAUUUGGUGUUAUAGGGAAUCAGGACUGUUACUUUGAAAAAAUUAGAGUGUUUAAAGCAGGCUCACGCUUGAAUACAUUAGCAUGGAAUAACGGAAUAGGACGUUUGAUUCUAUUUUGUUGGUUUCUAGGAUCGACGUAAUGAUUAAUAGGGAUAGUUGGGGGCAUUAGUAUUCAAUUGUCAGAGGUGAAAUUCUUGGAUUUAUUGAAGACUAACUACUGCGAAAGCAUUUGCCAAGGAUGUUUUCAUUAAUCAAGAACGAAAGUUAGGGGAUCGAAGACGAUCAGAUACCGUCGUAGUCUUAACCAUAAACUAUGCCGACUAGGGAUCGGAUGAUGUUAAUUUUAAUGACUCAUUCGGCACCUUACG